GAUGGAAGAAACAUUGAUUGUAUGUCUUUUUGAGCAAUGUCUAGAAUCAUUCAUAAAUAAAGUCUCAUGUGAUGGUGGUGUACAUUGGAAGCUUGUAGCGGGGUUAUUAUUAUCGUUAAUGGUUGCACUACAUUGUGAGUUAGACUGCAAGUUUUCUAUAACAAUAGUUUUUGUAAGUAUAAUAUAAUAUUAAUAUGAUAUGAACAAUAAUAAUGUAUAAAUGUAUUACAAAUUGCAAAUUAG
rnacentral:lncRNA from 1 species